CAAGGCACACAGAAAGGACUGACUGAAACCCUGGUCUUACUCUUUGGGGACACGUGUGGGGUUGACUUUCAGAGAGAUGUUUGGGGAAGUGAGGUUGAGAGAGAGGCAGCCCCUGUCGAUUUCCAGUGUCUCCAUUUUGUCCCGGUGGUCCGAGUUGAGUUGCUGCCGAAUUUCCUGCAGGAGACUGGGGAAGGAGACAGCACUGGGGCCAUGGCCCCCAGGGACCAAGACUGGGCCUCAUUGGACUGCAAGGAUACUGAAGGAUCCGGGCCUCCUGGCGGAUUUGGUGGGAAGCAUCUCGCUGCCGCUCUGCAUUGGUGGACAACAGGUAGCUGUUGGUGCGCCAGUCGGAGAGCUGGUAGCGUUCGCUGGGCUUGAAACUUAGUGUAGCCAUAGCGAAGGAGCCAAAGGUCUGAAACCCUUAGGCCCUGUUCCAGAUCGCCACCUGCAGAAGGAUAGAAAACCCGCCUUUUCUGGACCCCCUCUCCCCAAGCCUGGCCUCUUGGUUCUAAGCCCUUUCCCACAGAGUCUGCUGGAAAGGUUUCCAACUCAGCCCCCCUCCAACUCACUUCCUGUGAGGUGUUAGCAAUCACGCUAUAUUUCCUCAGUUGUCUGUCUUCAGGCACAAAACCCUGGAGCAGAUGCAAGGAUGCUUGUAAAGGAAAGGAU
ensembl:processed_transcript Gm12945 predicted gene 12945